rnacentral:rRNA from 1 species
AGUGAACGCUGGCGGUAGGCCUAACACAUGCAAGUCGAACGGCAGCACAGUAAGCGCUUGCUCUUACGGGUGGCGGGUGGCGGGCGGGUGAGGCAUACAUCGGAAUCUACUUUUUCGUGGGGGAUAACGUAGGGAAACUUACGCUAAUACCGCAUACGACCUACGGGUGAAAUCAGGGGAUCUUCGGACCUUGCGCGAUUGAAUGAGCCGAUGUCGCAUUAGCUAGUUGGCGGGGUAAAGGCCCACCAAGGCGACGAUCCGUAGCUGGUCUGAGAGGAUGAUCAGCCACACUGGAACUGAGACACGGUCCAGACUCCUACGGGAGGCAGCAGUAGGGAAUAUUGGACAAUGGGCGCAAGCCUGAUCCAGCAAUACCGCGUGGGUGAAGAAGGCCUUCGGGUUGUAAAGCUCUUUUGUUGGGAAAGAAAAGCAGCAGGUUAAUACCCCGCUGUUCUGACGGUACCCAAACAAUAAGCACCGGCUAACUUCGUG